CUACGGGGCGCACCAGUGGGGAAUAUUGGGCAAUGGGCGCAAGCCUGACCCAGCUAUGCCGCGUGAAUGAUGAAGGCCUUAGGGUUGUAAAGUUCUUUUAGAUGGGACGAUAAUGACGGUACCAUCAGAAAAAGCUCCGGCUAACUUCGUGCCAGCAGCCGCGGUAAUACGAAGGGAGCAAGCGUUGCUCGGAUUUAUUGGGCGUAAAGGGUGUGUAGGCGGUUUUGUAAGUUAGAUGUGAAAGCCCCGGGCUUAACCCGGGAACUGCAUUUAAGACUGCAUUACUUGAAGUUCGAAGAGGUUAGCAGAAUUCCCAGUGUAGAGGUGAAAUUCGUAGAUAUUGGGAAGAAUACCAAUGGCGUAGGCAGCUAACUGGUCGAUACUUGACGCUGAGGCACGAAAGCGUGGGGAGCAAACAGGAUUAGAUACCCCGGUAGUC
rnacentral:rRNA from 1 species